rnacentral:rRNA from 1 species
CCCUUAGAUGCUCUGGGCCGCACGCGCGCUACACUGGUCGAUGCAACGAGUUUCUUUCCUUGGCCGACAGGCCUGGGCAAUCUUUGAACAUCGAUCGUGAUCGGGAUAGAUUCUUGUAAUUUUUGAUCUUAAACGAGGAAUUCCUAGUAAACGCAAGUCAUCAGCUUGCAUUGAUUACGUCCCUGCCCUUUGUACACACCGCCCGUCGCACCUACCGAUUGAAUGGUCCGGUGAAAUCUCCGGACUGGCGUGAGUCGGAGCAAUCUGACAAACACCGGAAAGUUGAUUAAACCUUACCAUUUAGAGGAAGGUGAAGUCGUAACA